AGUGAACGCUGGCGGUAGGCCUAACACAUGCAAGUCGAACGGCAGCACAGUAAGAGCUUGCUCUUACGGGUGGCGAGUGGCGGACGGGUGAGGAAUACAUCGGAAUCUACUUUUUCGUGGGGGAUAACGUAGGGAAACUUACGCUAAUACCGCAUACGACCUACGGGUGAAAGCAGGGGAUCUUCGGACCUUGCGCGAUUGAAUGAGCCGAUGUCGGAUUAGCUAGUUGGCGGGGUAAAGGCCCACCAAGGCGACGAUCCGUAGCUGGUCUGAGAGGAUGAUCGGCCAGACUGGAACUGAGACACGGUCCAGACUCCUACGGGAGGCAGCAGUGGGGAAUAUUGGACAAUGGGCGCAAGCCUGGUCCAGCCAUACCGCGUGGGUGAAGAAGGCCUUCGGGUUGUAGAGCCCUUUUGUUGGGAAAGAAAAGCAGCAGGUUAAUACCCCGCUGUUCUGACGGUACCCAAAGAAUAAGCACCGGCUAAGUUCGUG
rnacentral:rRNA from 1 species